GAGGUCAUAAUGAAAAUCAUGCCAAAAGAAGACAUUUGCAUUGGAGAACCUUAAGACUUGAUAGCAGUCCAGGACUUAAAAAGGCAAAAUGAUGCCAGUUACAAGAGCAGUUGGGGACCCAUGGGACCAUCUUUGGGUCAGAAUUCCUGAGAAGCAACAAACAUCUGAGAGAAGUCAAGGAAGACAUGCAGCGAGCUGACUUUUUAGAAACUGACAUUAUGAACGAAUGUGCCAAGGAGGUGUUAAAUUUGCACUUGACAUCUAACCAAGAAAAUACAAACACCUGUGUUGUUUGAAAAUCUGACACCAGCACACGAACACAAACAUUUCUGACUGGAAGUAAUGGAAUACUGAGCUCCAUGUGACUUCUCAGGCUGCCGUUUUAACUGUGUUGUGAGGAGCUGAAUUUGAAGAAGAGCAGCCAAGGUGUGUUCGGCCAGAAUAAGCCGCAUCCUAAGGCACUAAAUCACAGAACUCUGUAUCUUCAAAGACCAAGAAAAUCCUGCACCAGAAGUCUGGGAUCUGGCAGUUAGGUGGGAUUAGUUUAACUGUCCUGAACUUCUUGAAGCAUGAAGGUCUGAUGUCCUAACCCUUGGGGCUCUCGUGAGGAAGGUGUUUGCCAUGGCCAUGGAGAAGUCUCCGCUUCAGUGAGCCUCAGGCAGUGACUGAUGAGGGAUCAGAGUGAGUCCAAUUUGGGCUGUUAGAAAAGAAGAAAGAGGAGGAAGGGGAGAGAGGGAGGCAAGUGAAGUAGACAGCUAGCCAUCAUAGUUCCAUGCUUUAGCCUCGCAAAUGCACUUUAGCCUACAUUUCUUUAGCCUAGCAAAUGCACUUCUGUAAGUUACCAUAAAAACUAACAAGGAAAGUUCCCAGAGACUUCCUUUAACUAAUAAUCUGGGCUGUGGUUAAUGAUCCCCCAUGCAAGUUCUUCACUGUGUUACUGUGUGGAAAUGAUUAGGUAGACAAUGGCAGGCCCAAUACAUCUACACAACAUGGGAAAUAGGCUACAUUGUAGGUGAAAUGUGUCGGCCAUGAAAGAACAAACACUGCGCUGUCCCACAUAGCAAGGUUCCCAGAGCAGUCAAGUUCCUAGCCAGGUUAGUAAAGCGAGGGCUGUUGUAAGGAAAAGGGAGGAUGGGAAGUCAUCAUUUAAUAGCUGUAGUGGUUUUUGAAGUGCUUCAGUAUUUUUUGAAGUACCAGACAUUUGCACAGCAAUAAUAAUGCCUAGGAUUGAUUAAAAUAGAAAACUUUAUGUGUAAAGAUGUUUCCACCGCUAAAAAUAAAAUAUUGAUUGUUUCCAAGAUGA